CCUACGGGUGGCUGCAGUGGGGAAUAUUGCACAAUGGGCGCAAGCCUGAUGCAGCCAUGCCGCGUGUGUGAAGAAGGCCUUCGGGUUGUAAAGCACUUUCAGCGGGGAGGAAGGCGUUAAGGUUAAUAACCUUGGCGAUUGACGUUACCCGCAGAAGAAGCACCGGCUAACUCCGUGCCAGCAGCCGCGGUAAUACGGAGGGUGCAAGCGUUAAUCGGAAUUACUGGGCGUAAAGCGCACGCAGGCGGUCUGUCAAGUCGGAUGUGAAAUCCCCGGGCUCAACCUGGGAACUGCAUUCGAAACUGGCAGGCUAGGGGCUUGUAGAGGGGGGUAGAAUUCCAGGGGGAGCGGUGAAAGGCGUAGAGAGCUGGGGGAAUACCGGUGGCGAAGGCGGCCCCCUGGACAAAGACUGACGCUCAGGUGCGAAAGCGUGGGGAGCAAACAGGAUUAGUACCCUGGUAGUC
rnacentral:rRNA from 1 species